GUAGUACUCCCUCCGUCCGGAAAUACUUGUCAUCAAAAUGAAUAAAAUGGGAUGUAUCUAAAUGUAUAUUAGUUCUAGAUACAUCUUUUUUAUCCAUUUUGAUGACAAGUAUUUUUGGACAGAGGGAGUACUUG
rnacentral:pre_miRNA from 1 species